rnacentral:rRNA from 1 species
AAAAGUAGUCUCAGUUCAGAUUGUAGGCUGCAACUCGCCUACAUGAAGUCGGAAUUGCUAGUAAUCGCGGAUCAGCAUGCCGCGGUGAAUACGUUCCCGGGCCUUGUACACACCGCCCGUCACACCAUGAGAGCCGGUAACACCCGAAGUCAGUAGCCUAACCGCAAGGGGGGCGCUGCCGAAGGUGGGAUUGGUAAUUGGGGUGAAGUCGUAACAAGGUAUC